rnacentral:misc_RNA from 1 species
UGAUGGAUUCGCAUGCCACGGCGGGCUCCCUGCCACUGUGCAGCCAACCGCCGUCGCGGCAGCCCUUUCACUCGUGCUCCAACCACUCGGAGCCUCCNGAGUUGCCUGUACGACAUACCCGGUUCUCGGGCAAACGACUUCGUUCGACACGCUCUUCCGCUCCCCCCGCCUUCGUGCGGGCGUGGAGCGGCAACGUCGGCGGUCCUCGUGCUCCCUCGGACGACGGCACGGCUUCGGCCCCUCUGUCUCGUCUCGAUCGGCCCUCGAGGAUUCGCCAGCUCUCGCGGACACGGUAGACAAUGUUGGAUCGGGGCCUUCGCAGCCCCCGCACCACGAUCGGUCGGCUCACUUCGCCGCCCUCGACGAGACGACCGUNGGCCCGUCGUCCCCCCCACCGCUCGCCUAACGGCGUUCGGGCGGGCGCGGCGGGCCGCGAC